GGGGGAUAACUAUUGGAAACGAUAGCUAAUACCGCAUAACAAUAGGUGACACAUGUCAUUUAUUUGAAAGGGGCAAUUGCUCCACUACAAGAUGGACCUGCGUUGUAUUAGCUAGUAGGUGAGGUAACGGCUCACCUAGGCGACGAUACAUAGCCGACCUGAGAGGGUGAUCAGCCACACUGGGACUGAGACACGGCCCAGACUCCUACGGGAGGCAGCAGUAGGGAAUCUUCGGCAAUGGGGGCAACCCUGACCGAGCAACGCCGCGUGAGUGAAGAAGGUUUUCGGAUCGUAAAGCUCUGUUGUAAGUCAAGAACGAGUGUGAGAGUGGAAAGUUCACACUGUGACGGUAGCUUACCAGAAAGGGACGGCUAACUACGUGCCAGCAGCCGCGGUAAUACGUAGGUCCCGAGCGUUGUCCGGAUUUAUUGGGCGUAAAGCGAGCGCAGGCGGUUUGAUAAGUCUGAAGUUAAAGGCUGUGGCUCAACCAUAGUUCGCUUUGGAAACUGUCAAACUUGAGUGCAGAAGGGGAGAGUGGAAUUCCAUGUGUAGCGGUGAAAUGCGUAGAUA
rnacentral:rRNA from 1 species